rnacentral:rRNA from 1 species
UCUUACAGUUGGCAACAGCUGCUAAGAAAUGUGGCGUGAAGCAAGCGGCUAUUGCAACUGUCGAUACGCGCAAGUUUCACUGAACGGGACUAGUCCCAUAGAAGGUGCUAGGCCUGUGUCGCGUGUGACGAGUGUUGCGAUGAACGUUUGCAGAGAGUCGGGUUGUUUGAGAACGCAGCCUAAAGCCGGUGGUAUACUCCAUCGAAAGCUAAAUAGAUCACGAGACCGAUAGCNNNNNNNNNNNNNNNNNNNNNNNNNNNNNNNNNNNNNNNNNNNNNNNNNNNNNNNNNNNNNNNNNNNNNAGAGGGAAGCAGAUAAGUCCGCGAAGAUGUAACGAAAAAUAUCAAAUGGUGCGUUGUCAAUAUUUACAAUAUUGAUUGACUGUAGCUGCAAGUGGUGUGGCUUUCGGGCUAUGCCGCUUUGUGCUGUAGCAUUAUGUGUAUAUCAUUGUUGGUGGCGUUGCCGUUGUACUUUUUUCGUUUAUAACGUCAUCACCGCUGCUGUCCCAGCGAUGUGCCAGCCGCAUUACGUGUGAGCACUUGUUUAUAUCGACCGUUUCGGCGCCGUUAUAAAUGAGAUGCGUGCCGUUUGAUGAUGGCUCGUGUGCAAUUGCGACAUCCGGUAGCGGUGCAAGCCAUCUGUAUUUGUCUAAGUGCUAGCCGACGCGCUAUAGUUGGCGCCAUCUAUUAUUAACAAUAAUUUCAAUAAUUAAUUUAUUGGAAUUGUCGANAUUAUUAGAUGUGCAUCGCUAAUAGCGUGUUGUGUCUAUAGUGAUACAGAUUGUGUGCCGAUGGCGAGUAGAUGGUAACUUAUCUAUCCCGUCUUGAAACACGGACCAAGGAGUUUAACAUAUAAGCGAGUCGUUGGGUGUAUGGAAUAUACCUCAAGACGUAGUGAAAGCGAGCGAUGCAACUCGGUUGUGUCACAAUUAUAUUAUUGGCGUGAUCUGUGCAUACGCGUAUGUAUAGCGCAACGCCGGCCCGUUGUACGACUACGUGUCAUGAACGGAGCCAAAGUUUAUAUGUUGAGACCCGAAAGAUGGUGAACUAUGCCUGGACAGGAUGAAGUCAGGGGAAACCCUGAUAGAAGUCCGUAGCGAUUCUGACGUGCAAAUCGAUCGUCUGAUCUGGGUAUAGGGGCGAAAGACUAAUCGAACUAUCUAAUAGCUGGUUUCCUUCGAAGUUUCCCUCAGGAUAGCUGGCGCAUGUUAAUUAAUAAACAAAUGGCAAUCUCUCCCGGUAAAGCGAAUGAUUAGAGGUCUUGGGGCCGAAACGGCCUCAACCUAUUCUCAAACUUUAAAUGUGUGAGUAGUCUGGCUUACUUAAGUGAAGUCCGGACAAUUGUUUACAAUAUUAGAUGCCAAUGUGCCAAGUGGGCCAUUUUUGGUAAGCAGAACUGGCGCUGUGGGAUGAACCGAACGCCAAGUUAAGGCGCCCGAGUGUGACGCUCAUCAGAUACCACAAAAGGUGUUGGUUGCUAUAGACAGCAGGACGGUGGCCAUGGAAGUCGGAAUCCGCUAAGGAGUGUGUAACAACUCACCUGCCGAAGCAACUAGCCCUGAAAAUGGAUGGCGCUUGAGCGUCCCGCCUAUACUUGGCCGUUGCAGCACACGUAGCACACACGUGUGUGUGCGUACGUGCAAAUUACGCUGCAACGAGUAGAAGGUACGCGGCGGUAGUGUCAAAGGGUUUGCGGCGUGAGCCGGCCUGGAGCUGCCGUCGGUGCAGAUCUUGGUGGUAGUAGCAAAUACUCAAGCGAGAACCUUGAGGACUGAAGUGGAGAAGGGUUCCAUGUGAACAGCAGUUGAACAUGGGUCAGUCGAUCCUAAGGCAUCGGCGAAAGCCGUUCAGACGCGGUGUCGGAUUAUAUAGUGCCAGUGUGUGUGUAUGUUAUGUACAUAUAUAUUGGUGUUGGCUGUUUAAGCUUUAUGCUUUUGCAGUCACCGCACCUGCCGAAAGGGAAUUCGGUUAAUAUUCCGAAACUCAGCAACGGAUAAUGAUUGCUCAGUUGUGCUCAUACGC